GAUGAACGCUGGCGGCGUGCUUAACACAUGCAAGUCGAACGGUGAACACGGAGCUUGCUCUGUGGGAUCAGUGGCGAACGGUUGAGUAACACGUGAGCAACCUGCCCCUGACUCUGGGAUAAGCGCUGGAAACGGCGUCUAAUACUGGAUACGAGUAGCGGCCGCAUGGUCAGUUACUGGAAAGAUUUUUUGGUUGGGGAUGGGCUCGCGGCCUAUCAGCUUGUUGGUGAGGUAAUGGCUCACCAAGGCGUCGACGGGUAGCAGGCCUGGGAGGGUGACCGGCCACACUGGGACUGAGACACGGCCCAGACUCCUACGGGAGGCAGCAGUGGGGAAUAUUGCACAAAGGGGGAAAGCCUGAUGCAGCACCGCCGCGUGAGGGAUGACGGCCUGCGGGUUGUAAGCCUCUUUUAGCAGGUAAGAAGCGAAAGUGACGGUACCUGCAGAAAAAGCGCCGGCUAACUACGUGCCAGCCGCCGCCGGAA
rnacentral:rRNA from 1 species